GUUGAGCUGAGUCAGCGGGAGCUGAUGCAUCUGUACUCUUGUGAUGAGCACAGUGUGUCAUAAGAACCUGUCCCUGGCACGGUGGACCCACAGGAGGCACAAGGCUGUAGAUCACCACCAGAGAAUGCACCUGUGCCUAUUUUGAUGGAUGGCAAUGCUAAGCAAGCAAGCACUGUUCACUUGUGACUUUCAUUUCUCACACUGUGCACUGUCAAAGACAAAUGUGCAUGGAAAAAUGUUUAGUGUCACCUCAUGGCGUUCUCAGCAUCAGUGACCUUCAAACGGUCCUACAAUGAGACUGUGUUCUAGCUAGGGGUAUGCUGUGGAAAUUCCUGCUACAUUUCAUCUUAGUGCUAACAUGUACAGAUUCUGCUGCGCUACAUUCAAAGCUCAUUACUGUAUAUUUAUGCUUUCUCUGUGUAACAAGUUAUACCUGAUAAGAUGUCACUUUGUUUCUAGUGGUUCUUAACCAUGGUCUGGUACAUGGCUAUUCUAGUUUUGGAAAUUAACAAGUGUUUUGUUGCCUCUUGUUUUCUUUUGUUCCUAUCAUUUUUGGCGGGGGUGGGGUGGGCUUGAUUCUAACCGUAAGUAUAGGAUAAGCUAGUUUUGUAUAUAGAGUCAAAUGACUGAUGUCAGAGGAUCAGUGCUGAUAGAACUUCCCCAGUUCAUGUCACCAUACACACAGAGAGAAAGCAGCAUGAGGCAUCUUGCCAUCAGAAGCCAAAUUUCUUUUGAGUCCCAAAAUUGAUGACUUAUGAAAUAUAGCUGAAAACAAGAUUUGGGUGUAGUUACUUGUAUUUAUUAUACAAUUUCCAAUUACAUUUUUUUUCAAACUCAAAAUAACCCAUGACUUUGAGUGAUAGGUCACUUGGCAAUGUUCUUGAAUUACUGGGGAAGCUGUUGUCACUAAGAUAAUGAGAGAGAAAAUAGAAUGGCUUCGCCCAAGUGAGAGCCACAUCUUACAUUUCUCUGUUGAAUCGGAAUCAACUAUAUUAGAACAGAAGCCUGAUGGAAGCUUUCUAGUUAACACACACAAGGCCAUGGUUUCAAAAACAUCUUUGUCCCCUUAGGUCAGUUUGUCCUUAGAUUAUGAAUUGGCAGGUUCUAAUUGCAUUAUUUCCCUGGCUGAUCCAGGAAAAAGUUAGAACAAAAUAAGUUGCAUAGUUUUGAGGAAACAUCCAAAGCAAGGCGAAGCCUUUCCUUGCCUUGCAUUGGCAAAACUACCUCUUUAGCAUUUAUGUUGAUUCAGAAACAUCUUGCUGAUAUGUGUAGAUGUUUUAAGCUUCAUUGUGAAAAUAUUGAUGCAAGAUAAGCCAUAUAUGAAUGUUGUAUUCAACUUUAGGGCUUGAAAUUAAUCCUAAAGUGUUCACCUCUCUCCAUGUCUAUUUACACUCUGUUCCUAUUUACUAAGAGGGUAGGGGUCUCCUUAAUAUCAUACUUCAUUGUUAAUAAGUCAAUGCUUGUUAUGUUUCUUGGCUGUUGUUUUUGUGCAUUAAAAACUCAAAAAUUGUUUUUUAGACUGUUUUUAUUUUGCUUUAACAGAGUACACUUAAGGGAAAGUGCAUAGCAUUCCUUACCAACACUGCUUCCUGCUAGUGAGUGAUCAAAAAUAUGAGAGAUUUUGUUGAUAUUAGUGUUUAUCAUAUUCAUUUAUGUAAAAUAUUAUUGCAAAGUAGUUGAAAGUGGGAUUUUCAUAACUAGGCUUCAUAAGUUCCAAUCUAGGUUAAGAAACCUGGGACAAAUUGCUUAAUCUCUCUGUGUUGCUAUCCACCAGUAGGGCUGUGUUUUAGGGGCUAUAGUAAGACAUAUACUACAGUUCUCCAUACCCACAGGUUGUAAUGGACUCCACUGUGUAUCACAGAUGUUUGCAAAACAUUACAUCCAUUCUUACUGAACAUAUAUUUUUCGUUAUUCUGUACACUUAAUGUAUUCAGAAACACUUAAACAUAACAUUUAGACAUUAUGUAUUUUUUAUAAUUUUUAGUGUAUGAGGAAGUUUGUACACAUAAUUUUGAGAAAAUAUAACACCAGUUUUUAUGAGAGCAUCUUUGGGUUGUGGUAUCUGCAGGAUCUUAUGGAAGCAAUGCCCUGAGGAAACCAAGACAUCCUAGUACAGACUUUGAGUUAAGAGGUGGGUGUUUAAUAUAUAAAGUGUUGUCACUAUAGAAGUUUGCCAAAUACUACACUAUUACUUAUUCCAUUGGCUAUUUAUAUUUUCCCCAAACACUCUAUUAACAAAAUAGAAUCUAAAAUUGUUUAGUGGUAGAGAAUUUUGCUGGCAUCCAUAAUCCUAGGACCCAUCUUUCAUACUGCAAAUAAAUGAAUAAACAUUUAUGG
rnacentral:lncRNA from 1 species